UACGAAGGGUGCAAACGUUGCUCGGAAUCAUUGGGCGUAAAGCGCACGUAGGCGGCCCUAUAAGUCGGAUGUGAAAUCCCUCGGCUCAACCAAGGAAGUGCAUUCGAAACUGUAAGGCUUGAGUACCAAAGAGGAUCGCGGAAUUCCCGGUGUAGAGGUGAAAUUCGUAGAUAUCGGGAGGAACACCAGUGGCGAAGGCGGCGAUCUGGGUGGAUACUGACGCUGAGGUGCGAAAGCGUGGGGAGCAAACAGG
rnacentral:rRNA from 1 species